AUUGAACGCUGGCGGCAGGCCUAACACAUGCAAGUCGAACGAGUGGCGGACGGGUGAGUAAUGUCUGGGAAACUGCCUGAUGGAGGGGGAUAAAUACUGGAAACGGUAGCUAAUACCGCAUACCAUCGGAUGUGCCCAGAUGGGAUUAGCUAGUAGGUGGGGUAAAGGCUCACCUAGGCGACGAUCCCUAGCCGGUCUGAGAGGAUGACCGGCCACACUGGAACUGGGACACGGGCCAGACUCCUACGGGAGGCAGCAGUGGGGAAUAUUGCGCAAUGGGCGCAAGCCUGAUGCAGCCAUGCCGCGGGUAUGAAGAAGGCCUUCGGGUUGUAAAGUACUUUCAGCGGGGAGGCGUUACCCGGAGAAGAAGCACCGGCUAACUCCCUGCCAGCACCCGCGGUAAUAC
rnacentral:rRNA from 1 species